UACGUAGGGUCCGAGCGUUGUCCGGAAUUAUUGGGCGUAAAGGGCUCGUAGGCGGUUUGUCGCGUCGGGAGUGAAAAUCCAGGGCUUAACUCUGGACUGGCUUCCGAUACGGGCAGACUAGAGGUAUGCAGGGGAGAACGGAAUUCCUGGUGUAGCGGUGAAAUGCGCAGAUAUCAGGAGGAACACCGGUGGCGAAGGCGGUUCUCUGGGCAUGUCCUGACGCUGAGGAGCGAAAGUGUGGGGAGCGAACAGG
rnacentral:rRNA from 1 species